AAGAUUGAGGACCGUAAUGGGUCCCGGAUCUUUUCAUCAAAGUCACAUAAGACCAAGGAGUCUAUGGGUCCUGCUAAGAUCAUUGUAAAUGAUAGCCUAGCAAUUAUACUUCUAAGCCUUUACGCAUUGAGGGAAUUGGAACUUCCUCGGAUGUCUGAUUUCUUCUUUCGUAUUCGGAGUGGAACCGUAAGUCAUGAGGAACUCUAUGGAGAUUCUCAGGGGGCAGAUGCUCCUUUCGGGCAUCAGUGAUCCCUAUGACAAAGGACUGUAAGAAAAUCCUUUGCUGCCCAGCGUGUACCUGGGCUCAGGUGUAGGUUCGCUUGAGUCAUGUCUCAUUCCAGUGUGACGUCCAAGGGCUUUAACUCGUGGAUAAGGACCAUAGAGACCAAACGUUUAGUAAAUGAUGUCUUGGGCAAGGUUGGUUUUGAAUAUGAGGGAAAUACUCUAGCUAAGCCACCUCGUGUACAAACAAUCAGCGUAAAGUAUUCCCUCUCCUACGGUUGAUGGUGCCGAAUGGG
rnacentral:lncRNA from 1 species